rnacentral:rRNA from 1 species
AGCAGCCGCGGUAAUUCCAGCUCCAAUAGCGUAUAUUAAGGUUGUUGCAGUUAAAAAGCUCGUAGUUGAAUUUCGGGAUCAAUAUAUCGGUCGUGCCAUUGGUACGUACUGGUAUCAUUGGUUUCUCCUUUCUGACGAACCAUGAUGUCAUUAAUUUGGUGUUAUGGGAAGUUAGGACUGUUACUUUGAAAAAUUAGAGUGUUUAAAGCAGGCUUUAGCUUGAAUACAUUAGCAUGGAAUAAUGAAAUAGGACGUUCGAACCUAUUUUGUUGGUUUCUAGGAUCAACGUAAUGAUUAAUAGGGAUAGUUGGGGGCAUUAGUAUUCAAUUGUCAGAGGUGAAAUUCUUGGAUUUAUUGAAGACUAACUACUGCGAAAGCAUUUGCCAAGGAUGUUUUCAUUAAUCAAGAACGAAAGUUAGGGGAUCGAAGACGAUCAGAUACCGUCGUAGUCUUAACCAUAAACUAUGCCGACUAGGGAUCGAAUGAUGUUAAUUUUUAAUGACUCA